UGGUAGCUUAGUGGUCUAGGUAAGGGACUCGUAGCUCGCGUGUCAUCAGUUCAAGUCUGGUUCUGCUGAA